GUGUCAGCCGCCGCGGUAAUACGUAGGAUCCAAGCGUUGUCCGGAUUUACUGGGUGUAAAGGGUGCGCAGGCGGACUUGUGCGUCAGAGGUUAAAGACCACGGCUUAACUGUGGAAGUGCCUUUGAUACGGCAAGUCUUGAGUGUGAGAGAGGAUAGUAGAAUUCCUGGUGUAGCGGUGAAAUGCGUAGAUAUCAGGAGGAAUACCCGUGGCGAAGGCGGCUAUCUGGCUCAUUACUGACGCUCAGGCACGAAAGCGUGGGGAUCAAACAGGAUUAGAAACCCGAGUAGUCC
rnacentral:rRNA from 1 species